ACCAGGGAGCGAAGCCCCCUCGCACAAACAAAAAUUGGACGAACGAGGCUGCUCUCCCUCCGCAAACCCUAGCCGCCGCACAAGGGAAGAGACGAGGGACAGCAGGAUGCACGCUGCGCCGAGACGUGUCUGCCGCCGACCUCUCGCACUGUGCACCCCAUUCCCCACCUCCUCCGGUCCUCGCCUACAGCCGCUCCUCCGUGACGGCACCAGCCCUCCAGGUGCCGCCGGCCCAAGCACGCCGCCUGCUCUCCAUGCGCCGCCCGCGGACAUCGCUGGAGGAGGCGCUGAAGAAGGGCUCCGACUCCUCGGAAGAGGAAGAGGAAGGGGCCGCCGGCUACAAACUCCAUAUCCAGGCCCUGGAGCGCGCCAUCUUGGCGCAGCCUCUCGACUAUGGUUCCCAUAUUGUUCAGAUUCGCUCAUGCGCCAAAGCCAGCUCAAGGAAGCCUUCCUGGACUCCUGGUCGACCAUGACACAAGCUUGAAGCAGCGGAACACCGAAGGAGGAUCUCGUGGAUAACAAAGGUGUUGACGGCAACCUCAAAGGCGAGA